CCCUUAGAUGUUCUGGGCCGCACGCGCGCUACACUGACGAUGGCAACGAGUUUUUCCUUCGCCGAAAGGUGUGGGUAAUCUUUUGAAACAUCGUCGUGCUGGGGAUAGAUCAUUGCAAUUUUUGAUCUUGAACGAGGAAUUCCUAGUAAGCGCGAGUCAUCAGCUCGCGUUGAUUACGUCCCUGCCCUUUGUACACACCGCCCGUCGCUACUACCGAUUGAAUGGUUUAGUGAGGACUCCUGAUUGGCGCCGCCGCCCCGGUAACGGAGCAGCGGACUGCCGAAAAGUUGUUCAAACUUGAUCAUUUAGAGGAAGUAAAAGUCGUAACA
rnacentral:rRNA from 1 species